rnacentral:lncRNA from 1 species
GAUACUGGAUGAAGCGCAAAUAUCAAGAAUAUUCCACUAAUUUCAUGGAGUGUAGAAGUUAAAACUUUAACCAACUGAGUAUAAUAAAGAAUGGAAUAACAAAAGAAAUCACCAUGCAUGCGGUACUUCGCAUAGACAGGUUAUUCCAUCAAAAUAAUAAAUAACAGAACCAGGUCAGGCGUAAUACACACCGACAGGAUAUUCCAACAGAAUAAUAAAG